ensembl:lncRNA
UUUUUUUUUUUUUUUUUAAUAGCAUCGCCUUUAUUACUGUCUAGAAGUGUAAGGAAAGACUUAGAUGUAGGAACAAGCCUUGGGUGUUUAAUUGUAAGGUUGGUGGGGGAGAGGGAGACAGAGAGGCGAGGCGGGGCGAGGUCAGGGUUUGGUUUCGGCAGCAGAUCGCUUUCAGGGCCUGUGUUCAGAAGGCCCGUCUGCCAGUUGUGUGAGGGCCUCCAGGUUUCCGUGGUGUGAGGAAAGCCUUCUACUGCAUCCACCUCCCAGUGGUAGCUGGCAGAUUUUUCCCCCAUGAAGCUUUAUUUUUGGAAACCACUGUAAUUUACAUGUUGGGACCUAUUAUUAACUGCUAGUUUCCUGCUGUUAUUGGAAAUCUUUACAUUAGGAAAGAAUGUAUGAGUUGUUUUUGAGGGGGUAGGGAGGCUCAAAUUGAAAGUUACCUUUCCUAAAAAAUAAACGGAGUUCCCAUCGUGGCGCAGUGGAAACAAAUCCGACUAGGAACCAUGAGGUGGUGGGUUCGAUCCCUGGCCUCAAUCAGCGGGUUAAGGAUCUGGCGGCAUAGGUCGCAGAUGUGGCUCGGAUCUGGUGUUGCUGCGAGCUGUGGUAUAGGCCAACAGCUGCAGCUCUGAUUUGACCCCUGGCCUGGAAAUUUCCAUAUGCCUCAAGUGUGGCCCUAAAAAGCAAAAAGAAAAUGAGUGUCUCUUUGGGAGCCACAGAGGUAUGAGUACCGAGGGCCAUCCUAUGGGACAGAGUUGAUGAGCCGCACGGCAGACAUUAUAAAGGGAGGAAGCAGAAGCAAUUGCACCAUAUUAAGUUGCAGCCUGGAAGUGGGUGAUUGGAGGAGGCCCCUAUUUAAUUAAAUUCCACCACGUGGUGUCCGAUGGGAAAACUUGGUGGCCUUGCAUUUGACUUCUGUCUGGAACUGGAAAGACGACCUGGUGACCCCCUUCAAAAGGACAGAGCCACCCAGAUGCCAUGUGCUCCACGUGGCCAGGAAAGUGCUUGUCACCCUGACUGCAGGGCCUGGAGUUCCGGGAGCGCUCGUUCGCCACUCACACUCAACUUCCCCGCAAGUUCUGUGCGGACUUUCAGAAUUUAAGCUGUUUCGGGCAAGUGCCACAGAGGGCGGCUUUCACCAGUGUCAUAAACACAGGGCAUUGUGGUUGUUAAGGACCUCGCCAACCCUGGGACCUCAAGCCAAAGCUCCAAAACCCUUUGCCAGUUUGACAGCUCUUUUUCCACAAGGCCUGGUGGCAUUCUCAGCCAUAUCCACUCCGGGGACGGUAUUUUACCUUGAGCCCUUGAUUCAUUCAUUCUCAAGUGUUUACCCAGCAUCUCCUCUGCCCUUCUGUCUAGUUCUCUUGCCCGGUUCUGGAAGGGACAGCACCCCCAGGGCUGUGGGCAGAUGGACCCAAAGGGCGCAUAUACAAAAGAAGAUAGGGGACAACAGAGGAGCCUGAGCAGGAGAAGGAGGGACACGAGGGCAGGUGGCCACCGAGGCUGACAAAGGGGAGGAUCUUAGGAGUGACUGACAAGGUUAAAGGGAGGACAAAAAGUCCUAAGUGAAUUUACAGCGCCCAGAUCCUGGAACCCUGGCCACAGAGAUGUCAGGGAAGCCGAGGGACUGAGCCAGGUCGCCGUGAGUGGGGGUGAGUGUGGGAUGAGGAGAAGCUGGUGGGUGCCUAGCUGGCAGGACACUGCAGCCUGCAGUCAGAAUUCCCCCCGUCAUGUCCUGAGUGAUGAGACGCCAGAUCGCCCGGCGUAACCCUCUCAGCUCUGUCUGCUUCCACCUUUAACCCAUGGUCUGGGAGGGGACAUUGUGCCACAGGAUGCAGUUUUAUUUGCUCCUGACCUCUUUUUUUUUUAAGGGCCGUACCCCCAGCCUAUGGAGACACGGAGGUUCCCAGGCUAGGGAUCCAAUCAGAGCCACAG